UUGGCGGCUUUGCCACUGCGCAGGCCACUAAUCCUUUCGUCUUCGUAAUGCAGGUGCUCGGAACAUUCAUCGCGUGCCUUUUCCUACCUGGACUGGCGACUACGCCACUGACCGCACCUUCAUAUUUACCAACCCAUCUCGUCGUGGAUGUAUCAGGCGCCCGUCAACGAGCCACUGCCAUCGCUUCACUCGUCUUUGGAACGAAACACCCGUCCUUGGAUUAUCUGCCCCUCGCAGAAGAAUGGGAAGCCCCAUCGCAUCCAACAUCAUUACUAGAGCCAGCUAUAAAACAGGAGCAGCCACCAGUGGCACUUUGUGGGCUUGGCGGCUUUGCCACUGCGCAGGCCACUAAUCCUUUCGUCUUCGUAAUGCAGGUGCUCGGAACAUUCAUCGCGUGCCUUUUCCUACCUGGACUGGCGACUACGCCACUGACCGCACCUUCAUAUUUACCAACCCAUCUCGUCGUGGAUGUAUCAGGCGCCCGUCAACGAGCCACUGCCAUCGCUUCACUCGUCUUUGGAACGAAACACCCGUCCUUGGAUUAUCUGCCCCUCGCAGAAGAAUGGGAAGCCCCAUCGCAUCCAACAUCAUUACUAGAGCCAGCUAUAAAACAGGAGCAGCCACCAGUGGCACUUUGUGGGCUUGGCGGCUUUGCCACUGCGCAGGCCACUAAUCCUUUCGUCUUCGUAAUGCAGGGACAAGCCUGUGUAAUAUCGGCACAUCAUGCUCUGACUAGGGAUAGACUGGAGAACUCACCUGUGAAUGCUUCGCUUCAGAGAAAUGGAGAAAGGAAGAACAGGCCCAAAAACAAGUCAUCGGUCAAGCCCAGGCCGCCGCCGGAAGCCAACUGAUUCCGGCCGACGUCUAGGGGGGAGGUAGACGGUGAAAAGGGGAGCUGCGCUUCACUCCGAUCACCCAUACUCUCUGACAGUGAACACAAGUUCAUAGGCCAGAGCUUCAUGACAUUAGCUGGGCAGCGUGCAUGGGCGAGCAUCUCAGUGCACACUUCCUGCUACUCAGCGAACAUCGCAGCACCGAUGCCCUAUCAAAAAUCUUCCUCGCGGAAGUGCUUGCUGCAUAGCGGAGUUGAAGCCUAUGGCUGCUUGGCAGUUAUAAGUUUCACGAUCCAAGCUUCAUGCAGCUUCUUGUUCAGUGGGGGUCUGAGAAGUUUCCCAUGGCUGAAAAAGGGAGUGUUUCCUGAAGCUGGACUGGACCUGAUGCACUUUGUUCAAGACAACGAGCUGGGUACCUCACUGUCAACAUUGAGCUGCUGCUGUAGAAGACUCUGCCAAAAGGGGACAACUUUCUAAAAUAUGUUGUCAUCCGCUGUCAAGAAAAAGGGUGGAUAGACAAAGGACUGGUGCUUGACUGGAUAAAGUCUUUGUGGUGUUGGUGGCUCAGAGCACUGCUGGGGCUCCCAUCCCUGCUUGUCCUGGAUGCUUUUCACUGUCGCCUGGCUGACUUGGUGAAGCAACUGCAGUGCGAGUCCAGCACCGAGCUUGUGGUGUAACAUCCCAGUUGCAACCGCUUGAGAUGUGCAUAGAUAAACCAUUAAAAGACUGCAUCAAGUGCUGCUGUAUGGAGUGAAAGAGGUCAGCAGGGAAUGAAGUGACUCCUGCCGGAUGCCUGAAACGAGCCCCUCUAGCGAUGCUCUGCUCAUGGAUCGCUAACACUUGGGUAUGCAUUCCUGAGGAGCUCGUCCGUCGCACAUGCAAGAAAUUUUUGACACUGAACACAGUUGAUAGCACUAAGACAAGUUUCUAUGUGAGGAUAUCUCUGACAAGGGACUCUCACAGAAAAAAAAAGCAUGAUUCAGCUCAUACUAACAUGGGAAACACACAUGCAUGCUUAAUCCUGAGCCAUUUUAAUGCACAUAAUUUCCAUGUACUACACAGUACAUUUGUCCUGGAGAUGUACAUCUCUUCACAUGAAGUGCAGCACAAAUGCACAAAAUGCCAGCAAAUAUACUUGCAAACAACCACGUGACUGUCCAUGCUUGUGCCAUUUACAAUAUAGGUAACAGGACGUUUACAACUAAGAGCAGAUUCCUCUCCAAUCCUCUCCGUUUUCCCGUAAUUGCAUGCUCUGAUUGGCUUGUGGUAAGCUACGCUUUUUUUCCAACGCUAAAAAUCGGCCUCAGACUAAUCAGCACACCGAGGGUUUUCUGUUGUGCGAUAUUGCGUGAAGUAGAUUUUUCGGUCACUAAUGUUGUUGCCAACAAGAAAUUUCUCAGUGUGAACGAGUCAUACAUGUGCACCUGUAUAAUCCCUUGCACACACUUCUUUGAAACCACAAUAAAUAAAAUU